AUUGCUUCUCGGCCUUUUGGCUAAGAUCAAGUGUAGGAAUUAGGAGAAUAUAUGGGUUUUACCUUUCCCAAUUUUUCUGGGAAAAUUGCUUCCAAGAGUGGCUGAUUAUUUUUCAUUGACAAAAUAAAUCAAUUUGAG
rnacentral:snRNA from 1 species